rnacentral:rRNA from 1 species
GAUGAACGCUGGCGGCGUGCCUAAUACAUGCAAGUCGAGCGAACAGACGAGGAGCUUGCUCCUCUGACGUUAGCGGCGGACGGGUGAGUAACACGUGGAUAACCUACCUAUAAGACUGGGAUAACUUCGGGAAACCGGAGCUAAUACCGGAUAAUAUAUUGAACCGCAUGGUUCAAUAGUGAAAGACGGUUUUGCUGGCACGUAUAGAUGGAUCCGCGCCGCAUUAGCGAGUUGGUAAGGUAACGGCUUACCAAGGCAACGAGGCGUAGCCGAGCUCAGAGGGUGAUCGGCCCCCUUGGAACUGAGCCACGGUCCAGACUCCUACGGGAGGCAGCAGUAGGGAAUCUUCCGCAAUGGGCGAAAGCCUGACGGAGCAACGCCGCGUGAGUGAUGAAGGUCUUCGGAUCGUAAAACUCUGUUAUUAGGGAAGAACAAAUGUGUAAGUAACUAUGCACGUCUUGACGGUACCUAAUCAGAAAGCCCCGGCUAACUACGUG